rnacentral:rRNA from 1 species
GGCGACCGGCGCACGGGUGAGUAACGCGUAUCCCACCUUCCGCUUACUCGGGGAUAGCCUUUCGAAAGAAAGAUUACUACCCGAUGGUAUCUUAAGCACGCAUGAGAUUAAGAUUAAAGAUUUAUCGGUAAGCGAUGGGGAUGCGUUCCAUUAGGCAGUUGGCGGGGUAACGGCCCACCAAACCUACGAUGGAUAGGGGUUCUGAGAGGAAGGUCCCCCACAUUGGAACUGAGACACGGUCCAAACUCCUACGGGAGGCAGCAGUGAGGAAUAUUGGUCAAUGGGCGAGAGCCUGAACCAGCCAAGUAGCGUGAAGGAUGACGGCCCUACGGGUUGUAAACUUCUUUUGUGCGGGAAUAAAGGAACCUACGUGUAGGUUUUUGCAUGUACCGUAACGAAUAAGCAUCGGCUAACUCCGUGCCAGCAGCCGCGGUAAUACGGAGGAUGCGAGCGUUAUCCGGAUUUAUUGGGUUUAAAGGGAGCGUAGACGGGUUUUUAAGUCAGCUGUGAAAGUUUGGGGCUCAACCUUAAAAUUGCAGUUGAAACUGGAGACCUUGAGUACGGUUGAGGCAGGCGGAAUUCGUGGUGUAGCGGUGAAAUGCUUAGAUAUCACGAAGAACUCCGAUUG